rnacentral:rRNA from 1 species
CCAGCAGCCGCGGUAAUACGUAGGGUGCGAGCGUUAAUCGGAAUUACUGGGCGUAAAGCGUGCGCAGGCGGUUCGCCAAGUCAGGUGUGAAAUCCCCGGGCUUAACCUGGGAAUUGCGCUUGAAACUAGCGGGCUGGAGUGCGGCAGAGGAGACUGGAAUUCCUGGUGUAGCGGUGAAAUGCGUAGAUAUCAGGAGGAACACCGGUGGUGUAGACGGCUCUCUGGACCGUAACUGACGCUGAAACACGAAAGCGUGGGUAGCAAACAGGAUUAGAUACCCUGGUA